rnacentral:tRNA from 1 species
GGUGGCUCAGUGGUAGAGUGCUUGCCUUGCAUGCAUGAAGGCCUGGGUUCAAUUCCUCAGUACCA